rnacentral:rRNA from 1 species
UACGUAGGUGGCGAGCGUUGUCCGGAUUUACUGGGCGUAAAGGAUGCGUAGGCGGAUAUUUAAGUGGGAUGUGAAAUACCCGGGCUUAACCUGGGUGCUGCAUUCCAAACUGGAUAUCUAGAGUGCAGGAGAGGAAAGCGGAAUUCCUAGUGUAGCGGUGAAAUGCGUAGAGAUUAGGAAGAACACCAGUGGCGAAGGCGGCUUUCUGGACUGUAACUGACGCUGAGGCAUGAAAGCGUGGGGAGCAAACAGG